UCAGCCACACUGGAACUGAGACACGGUCCAGACUCCUACGGGAGGCAGCGUGGGGAAUAUUGCACAAUGGGCGAAAGCCUGAUGCAGCCAUGCCGCGGUGUGAAGAAGGCUCUAGGGUUGUAAAGCACUUUCAGCAAGGAGGAAAGGUUGUAAGUUAAUACCUUGCAACUGUGACGUUACUUGCAGAAGAA
rnacentral:rRNA from 1 species